rnacentral:rRNA from 1 species
CUGAUCCAGCCAUGCCGCGUGUGUGAAGAAGGCUUUCGGGUUGUAAAGCACUUUAAGUUGGGAGGAAGGGCAGUUACCUAAUACGUAUCUGUUUUGACGUUACCGACAGAAUAAGCACCGGCUAACUCUGUGCCAGCAGCCGCGGUAAUACAGAGGGUGCAAGCGUUAAUCGGAAUUACUGGGCGUAAAGCGCGCGUAGGUGGUUCGUUAAGUUGGAUGUGAAAUCCCCGGGCUCAACCUGGGAACUGCAUUCAAAACUGACGAGCUAGAGUAUGGUAGAGGGUGGUGGAAUUUCCUGUGUAGCGGUGAAAUGCGUAGAUAUAGGAAGGAACACCAGUGGCGAAGGCGACCACCUGGACUGAUACUWACACUGAGGUGCGAAAGCGUGGGGAGCAAACAGGAUUAGAUACCCUCGUAGUCCACGCCGUAAACGAUGUCAACUAGCCGUUGGGAGCCUUAGCUCUUAGUGGCGCACUAACGCAUUAAGUUGACC